rnacentral:rRNA from 1 species
AGUGAACGCUGGCGGUAGGCCUAACACAUGCCAGUCGAACGGCAGCACAGUAAGAGCUUGCUCUUACGGGUGGCGAGUGGCGGACGGGUGAGGAAUACAUCGGAAUCUACUUUUUCGUGGGGGAUAACGUAGGGAAACUUACGCUAAUACCGCAUACGACCUACGGGUGAAAGCAGGGGAUCUUCGGCCCUUGCGCGAUUGAAUGAGCCGAUGUCGGAUUAGCUAGUUGGCGGGGUAAAGGCCCACCAAGGCGACGAUCCGUAGCUGGUCUGAGAGGAUGAUCAGCCACACUGGAACUGAGACACGGUCCAGACUCCUACGGGAGGCAGCAGUGGGGAAUAUUGGACAAUGGGCGCAAGCCUGAUCCAGCCAUACCGCGUGGGUGAAGAAGGCCUUCGGGUUGUAAAGCCCUUUUGUUGGGAAAGAAAAGCAGCAGGUUAAUACCCCGCUGUUCUGACGGUACCCAAAGAAUAAGCACCGGCUAACUUCGUG